rnacentral:rRNA from 1 species
UGGGGAAUUUUGCGCAAUGGGCGAAAGCCUGACGCAGUAACGCCGUGUGGAGGAUGAAGGCCUUCGGGUUGUAAACUCCUGUCAGGGGGAACGACGGAGAAUAGGGUGAUAAACCCUUUCCUCCAGACGGUACCUCCAAAGGAAGCCCGGCUAAUUCCGUGCCAGCAGCCGCGGUAAUACGGAAGGGGCAAGCGUUGUUCGGAAUCAUUGGGCGUAAAGGGCGCGUAGGUGGUCUUGUAUGUCUACCGUGAAAGCGUACGGCUCAACUGUAUUUUGUCGGUAGAAACUGCAGGACUUGAGGCUGGGAGGGGCUGGUGGAAUUCCCUGUGUAGCGGUGAAAUGCGUAGAGAUGGGGGAGAACACUCGUGGCGAAGGCGGCCAGCUAGACCAGUUCUGACACUGAGGCGCGACAGCGUGGGGAGCGAAACAGGAUUAGAUACCCUGGUAGUCCACGCUGUAAACGAUGGGCACUAGGUGCCGGCGGUCUUGAUCCCGUCGGUGCCGGCG